GACGAACGCUGGCGGCGUGCUUAACACAUGCAAGUCGAACGGAAAGGCCCUGCUUUUGGGGGGUGCUCGAGUGGCGAACGGGUGAGUAACACGUGAGUAACCUGCCCUUGACUUUGGGAUAACUUCAGGAAACUGGGGCUAAUACCGGAUAGGAGCUCCUGCUGCAUGGUGGGGGUUGGAAAGUUUCGGCGGUUGGGGAUGGACUCGCGGCUUAUCAGCUUGUUGGUGAGGUAGUGGCUUACCAAGGCUUUGACGGGUAGCCGGCCUGAGAGGGUGACCGGCCACAUUGGGACUGAGAUACGGCCCAGACUCCUACGGGAGGCAGCAGUGGGGAAUAUUGCACAAUGGGCGGAAGCCUGAUGCAGCAACGCCGCGUGCGGGAUGACGGCCUUCGGGUUGUAAACCGCUUUCGCCUGUGACGAAGCGUGAGUGACGGUAAUGGGUAAAGAAGCACCGGCUAACUACGUG
rnacentral:rRNA from 1 species